rnacentral:pre_miRNA from 1 species
AGAGGAAUUGCUGGAUCACAUGGUAACUUUGCGUUUAACUUUUUGAAGAACUGCCAAACUGUUUUCCAAUGACUGCACAAUUUUACAUUUUCAACAGCAGU